GACGAACGCUGGCGGCGUGCUUAACACAUGCGAGUCGAACGGAAAGGCCCUGCUUUUGUGGGGUGCUCGAGUGGCGAACGGGUGAGUAACACGUGAGUAACCUGCCCUUGACUUUGGGAUAACUUCAGGAAACUGGGGCUAAUACCGGAUAGGAGCUCCUGCUGCAUGGUGGGGGUUGGAAAGUUUCGGCGGUCGGGGAUGGACUCGCGGCUUAUCAGCUUGUUGGUGGGGUAGUGGCUUACCAAGGCUUUGACGGGUAGCCGGCCUGAGAGGGUGACCGGCCACAUUGGGACUGAGAUACGGCCCAGACUCCUACGGGAGGCAGCAGUGGGGAAUAUUGCACAAUGGGCGGAAGCCUGAUGCAGCAACGCCGCGUGCGGGAUGACGGCCUUCGGGUUGUAAACCGCUUUCGCCUGUGACGAAGCGUGAGUGACGGUAAUGGGUAAAGGAGCACCGGCUAACUACGUG
rnacentral:rRNA from 1 species